AUUGAACGCUGGCGGCAUGCUUUACACAUGCAAGUCGAACGGUAACAGGGAGCUUGCUCCGCUGACGAGUGGCGAACGGGUGAGUAAUAUAUCGGAACGUACCCAGAAGUGGGGGAUAACGUAGCGAAAGUUACGCUAAUACCGCAUACGAUCCACGGAUGAAAGUAGGGGACCUUCGGGCCUUAUGCUUUUGGAGCGGCCGAUAUCUGAUUAGCUAGUUGGUGAGGUAAAGGCUCACCAAGGCGACGAUCAGUAGCUGGUCUGAGAGGACGACCAGCCACACUGGAACUGAGACACGGUCCAGACUCCUACGGGAGGCAGCAGUGGGGAAUUUUGGACAAUGGGCGCAAGCCUGAUCCAGCAAUGCCGCGUGAGUGAAGAAGGCCUUCGGGUUGUAAAGCUCUUUUGUCAGGGAGGAAACGGCUGUGGCUAAUAUCCACGGCUAAUGACGGUACCUGAAGAAUAAGCACCGGCUAACUACGUGCCAGCCGCCGCAGUAACAC
rnacentral:rRNA from 1 species